GGGGUUGUGGCUUAGUGGUAGAGCACUUGCCUAGUAUGUGCAAGGCCCUGGGUUCAAUCCCCAGCACCA
rfam:Ictidomys tridecemlineatus contig018304, whole genome shotgun sequence.